rnacentral:rRNA from 2 species
UGGGCGUAAGCGCGCGCAGGCGGUUUCUUAAGUCUGAUGUGAAAGCCCCCGCCUCAACCGGGGAGGGUCAUUGGAAACUGGGAAACUUGAGUGCCUAAGAGGAAAGUGGAAUUCCAAGUGUAGCGGUGAAAUGCGUAGAGAUUUGGAGGAACACCAGUGGCGAAGGCGACUUUCUGGUCUGUAACUGACGCUGAGGCGCGAAAGCGUGGGGAGCAAACAGGAUUAGAUACCCUGGUAGUCCACGCUGUAAACGAUGAGUGCUAAGUGUUAGAGGGUUUCCGCCCUUUAGUGCUGAAGUUAACGCAUUAAGCACUCCGCCUGGGGAGUACGGUCGCCAGACUGACUCUCACAGGAAUUGACGGGGGCCCG